UGACUACAGCAUCCUCGAAGCUUUAAACAGCUUCUCGGUGCUCAUGGGGACUCAGGGAAAACAGGAUCUGCAGACCAGCAAGCGGGUCCUCACCUGACCCCAGGUCCCCGGCACCUUGACCUUGGACUCCAGCCUCCAACCUUGAGGAACAGACGUCUGGUUUCACGCCCAUCUGCAGUACUUCAGCAGCCGAAGGGACUCGGACUCAGAAGUUGAGCAUCUACUCUGCCCCGUGGCUGAGGAGCUUCACAGAUACAAAUAAAGUGCAAAACCCUGUCUUAGAAAACCUUUGACCCUGGUGGGAACAAUACCAGCCACUACCAGCACACUUAACAUUGCACGUGAUUCUGUUGGACAGCGUGGGUCCAGAGCCGAGUCAGUUCCUGCUUUGGGAGCAGAGAGUCCUCCAUGUGGGGUGUCCUGCCCGCGGGACCUUGGGCAGCAUCUCCAGCAUCAUCCACCAGAUGGCAGUAGCUCCUCUCCAACACGACUUUGCCAAAGUCCCCAAGGGCUUGGAGUAACCCCAUCUGUCCAUGCUGCAGAUGAUUGUCCAGUUGGAAGUUUCAGCGCAGCUGCUUCCUGCUUUGAAUCCCAGCCUCAUAGAGUUUAUUUAAGUAAGAUUUUUCUCAACCUGUGAAGCACAAUUCCAAAGGCACAGAAAAGAAGCAAUGUCUGCACCUCAUCCGCACAAUGUGGUCGAGUGCCAAGUGCCACAGAAUGUCCCGCAGAGGCCACGGGGGAGUGACCCCUGGGGAAACGGUGCUCCAAGCUUGAUGGACUGUAACGUCGUAGGAAAGAGAAAGAAGUGCCACAAAUGAGAAAAUACAAACGCGGUCUUGUCACGGAUGGAGCUAGUGUAACCCUGGGAGACAGGAGGCUGCAGAAGAGCCUCCUGGGGAGGGGUCGGAGGUACUGAGACGGCUGAAGAAUAGAAGGAAGAAGAUCCAGACGCAGAAAUGCCCUCUGGCUGAGUCAGCAAGGAGGGCACCACCAGUGAACUCCAGUUCCUGGCUGGUCCACAGGUGACGGCUGUGCUGUGGUGUCGGCGUGGGGACUUCUGGCAGCUGUGCUGAUGAGGACGGUGUGUGGCUCUCAGGGACACUCACAAUGCACCGGGCUCUGCCCAAGUCCGAAGAAGACUGAUCACCGUGCACUCAGCCAUCACUACACUGCUGGGGGGGAGGGGAGGGUGGGGCAGGUACCACUACCGUGUUUUGCAAAAGAGAAAACAAGGAGGCACAGGGGGUUAAGGGCCUGCCGUGGGCAGGCGAGCUGGGGCUGAGCCUGUCGGUCUGGCCCCUUCACCACCAUCUUAUGAACAGUUUCCAUGAUGAAAGCAGAGGCACUGUUGGGUGGAUCCUGCAUCCUGAUAACCCGUCAGCUUCAGUCAUCAAGCCCGCGUCCCCUGCUGUUCACCGUCCUCUGUAAACCUCCUCCCAUCUCGUUUUCAUUCAGUGGGAGGCUCGUUCCUUCGGCAAACAUUCCCGGAGCACCAUCGAAGUGUGGGUUCUUAGAACUGUGUCACAGCUCCGAUGGGGAACAGAACAGAACUGCACUACCCCACGGAGAUUACAGUCCAACUCGGAGAGGCGCACCUGAAGUCACUUGGUAAUAAAUUAAAGGUUGUAACUGCGACAGUGGCUCAGAGGGACAGAGGGGCUGGACUGAGAGUUCGGAGGGUCGAGGGGCACCAGCAGGAAAUGCCUGCGCGAGCUGAGUAGAUGGUGGCGAGGCAGUGUGGAUGCAGGGGUCCUCUUGGUGGGAGCCUGGAGCACCAGUGGGGUGGAAUUCACAGAUGGCGCAAGUCGGGACAGUCCCGCUUCCAGUGGGAGGCGUUGGUGGCUCAGUGGCAACGCUUGUGCCUUUGUCCCCACACUGGACGAAGGCACAGGAUCAUCUGCCUGUGCAGAACCAUUGUUCUGUGAAGACCAGUAACCCAUCUGUGGGCAGCAGGGUAAGGCCCCAGAGAUGUCCAAGUCCUAAUCCCCAGAAACAGUGACUACCUUAGGCUAAGCGGUAAAUGUUGCUUAUCAGCUGACCGUGAGGUGGGCGGUCAGCCGGGAUCACUCAGGUGGGCCCAGUGUCAUCAGGGUCCUUAUGAGUGAGUGGAGGAACCAGGGAGAGGGGGGUGGGAAAUCCUUGGUGGUCAGGGCUGGCUUUGAAGGGGGAGGGUCCCGGGAGCCGAGGAAGGUGGGCAGCCUCCAGAAGCAAGAAAAGGCAAGAAGUGGGUUUUCCGUGGGACACGGCUCUGCCAACACCUUGAUUUUAGCUCAGAGAGACCCCUUUCCGUUUCUGAGCUCCAGAACCAUAAAGUGAUAAAUUUGAGUGUUUUAAACCAUUAAGUUUGUGGUAAUUUGUUCUAGCAGCAGUAGGAAACUAAUACAAAUACUAUGAUUUUUCUUCCUGAAUAUUUCGUUUACCACACUGACUUGAGUGUGAAACAAUAGGUUUGACUGUGAAAAUGCAGCUAAGAUUGACCUAACCUUCAGCCAGUCAGGCCCAAGCACGUUUCUGAAUAAUGCCCAACUUGUUGUUUACACCCUCCAGUUUAAAAAAGUGAUUAUAAUAGAAAUAUUAAAAAAUGUAUUUUUGCUUUUC